rnacentral:lncRNA from 1 species
UACAAGCCGGGCAGUCUCCGAGGGUGCUUCGUCCACUGCAACCGAUUACGCUUGCAGUUGGACUCCUGGUGACACCUGUAUUGCUGAAGAAAUCGAGCACUACUUCCAGACCCUGGGCAAUACUCUCCCUUUCGACGACACCGAGAAUGGAAGCGCCGCCUUCCAGCUUCUGAUCUGCAGCACGAAUGUCGAGGAAGCAAUGCCGAGUGCGAGCGACGGAGACAUCGAAGCAGCACCAGACUUCUUGGGAACCGACAUGAGGAAUGCUACUGUCUCCAAGGAAAGUGAACAACGCACAGAUAUCAACGACGUAUGCGGCGACGUCGACUGCGGCGACAACGCAUCAGGGGAAAGGCCCAACAAAUGUGAAAUGUGUGAAAAAUCGUUUAAAUACAAAUAUCUACUCGUAGCA